GACGAACGCUGGCGGCGUGCUUAACACAUGCAAGUCGAACGGUGAAGCGCCUUCCUUUUUGGUGGGUGUGGAUGAGUGGCGAACGGGUGAGUAACACGUGAGUAACCUGCCCCCUUCUUCUGGAUAACCGCAUGAAAGUGUGGCUAAUACGGGAUAUUCUGGGUCUGUCGCAUGAUGGGUCUGGGAAAGAUAUUGUUUCGGUGGGGGAUGGGCUCGCGGCCUAUCAGCUUGUUGGUGGGGUGAUGGCCUACCAAGGCGGUGACGGGUAGCCGGCCUGAGAGGGUGGACGGUCACACUGGGACUGAGACACGGCCCAGACUCCUACGGGAGGCAGCAGUGGGGAAUAUUGCACAAUGGGCGCAAGCCUGAUGCAGCGACGCCGCGUGAGGGAUGGAGGCCUGCGGGUUGUGAACCUCCUUCGCCAGUGAAGCAGGCCUGCCUCGUUUGUGGGUGGGUUGACGGUAGCUGGAGAAGAAGCGCCGGCUAACUACGUG
rnacentral:rRNA from 1 species